rnacentral:rRNA from 1 species
GUGGGGAAUAUUCCGCAAUGGACGAAAGUCUGACGGAGCAACGCCGCGUGAGUGAUGAAGGUUUUCGGACUGUAAAGCUCUGUUGUUUAGGACGAAAGUGCCUGUUGCGAACAGUUACAGGUAUUGACGGUACUAAACGAGGAAGCCACGGCUAACUACGUGCCAGCAGCCGCGGUAAUACGUAGGUGGCAAGCGUUGUCCGGAAUUAUUGGGCGUAAAGAGCAUGUAGGCGGAGAUUUAAGUCUGUUGUGAAAAUGCGGGGCUCAACCACGGAUUGCGAUGGAAACUGAAUUUCUUGAGUGCAGGAGAGGAAAGGGGAAUUCCCAGUGUAGCGGUGAAAUGCGUAGAUAUUGGGAGGAACACCAGUGGCGAAGGCGCCUUUCUGGACUGUGUCUGACGCUGAGAUGCGAAAGCCAGGGUAGCGAACGGGAUUAGAUACCCCAGUAGUCC